GGCGGAGACCUCCACGGCAUCAGUUGCAGCGCUGUUAUUUUUAAAUAUUUUUAACAAUUUUUGUAUUAGAGAUUGUUUAAACUAUAAACUGUCAUGUGACCUAAAAUAAAAAAUGUUUAUUUGAUAGUUCUGAGUUUAAAGAUUUUUAAAUAUAAGCCCAUUUUUCGACCUCAGGGUGGUCAGACAUCCAAAUGGGUUUUAAUAUAACUUUCUAGAGUAAUAUUUUGCUUUCUAAGCUUAAAUUCAAACGUCUAAGCCAGUAGAAUUUUUAACUUCUGUUGCUUACACUUUGGUUUAAUAUGCUACUUAUAUGUUCUGUCAAGUAUCAUGUUCAGGUAUUUGACUAUAUUAUUUGUUGGAAUUAUCUUGGAUGAUUUUAUAUACUAUUCUAUAGGUUCGUUCUAUUAUUGAAUGUUGCUUCCGAAAACCAAAUUGAUGAUUUUACUUUAUUUUUUAAUCUUCCAAAAAGGGAUGAAGUCUUUUAAUUAACAUCUUCUCUAAGAAUUUGAAUAUAUUUGACAAAAGAUUAAUUGAGCGAUAUAAAUUUGCUUCGUUAAUUGGUUUCUCUAAUUUAUGGAUGAAAGUAAUGAGUAACAAUUUUCAAAACUUUGCAUAAUAUUUCUUCUGGAAAGAAAUAUUUUGAAAACAGAUGUGCAAUUUCAAAAGGGAAGUCGCUAUCGGCCCAUAUGCGGACUCACUUUAUUUUGAAGACUUGGAAAACUCAAGGACCAGCAAAAGAAUCUUAGUAAAUACCUAUUGUUCUAAUGCGUACUAGACUUUCCUAAAAUAAAGAAAUAUUCAAACAAAAGGUUCUACAUAUUUCAUUCAUACACGACA